rnacentral:tmRNA from 1 species
GGGGGCGCACAGGCUUCGACGUGAGUGGUCAGCGUCCAAUGAGACGAGCCGAGUUUGCUGGAGACUCGUAAAACGCCGGCACCUAAGAUACACGCCGAUAACGAUAUGGCUCUAGCU